rnacentral:rRNA from 1 species
CCCUACGGGGCGCAGCAGGCGCGAAAACUUUACAAUGCUGGAAACAGCGAUAAGGGGACCUCGAGUGCCAGGUUACAAAUCUGGCUGUCGUGAUGCCUAAAAAGCAUUGCAUAGCAAGGGCCGGGCAAGACCGGUGCCAGCCGCCGCGGUAACACCGGCGGCUCGAGUGGUAACCGUUAUUAUUGGGUCUAAAGGGUCUGUAGCCGGCCGGAUAAGUCUCUUGGGAAAUCUGGCAGCUUAACUGUCAGGCUUUCAGGAGAUACUGU